GAUGAAGAACGCAGCGAAAGUGCGAAACGUAAUGUGAAUUGCAGAAUUCAGUGAAUCAUCGAAUCUUUGAACGCACAUUGCGCCCGCCAGUAUUCUGGCGGGCAUGCCUGUUCGAGCGUCAUUACAACCCUCAGGCCCCCGGGCCUGGCGUUGGGGAUCGGCGGAAGCCCCCUGCGGGCACAACGCCGUCCCCCAAAUACAGUGGCGGUCCCGCCGCAGCUUCCAUUGCGUAGUAGCUAACACCUCGCAACUGGAGAGCGGCGCGGCCACGCCGUAAAACACCCAACUUCUGAAUGUUGACCUCGAAUCAGGUAGGAAUACCCGCUGAACUUAAGCAUAUCAAUAAGCGGAGGA
rnacentral:misc_RNA from 1 species